rnacentral:rRNA from 1 species
AGCAGUAGCCGCGGUAAUACGUAGGGUGCGAGCGUUAAUCGGAAUUACUGGGCGUAAAGCGUGCGCAGGCGGUUUUGUAAGACAGGCGUGAAAUCCCCGGGCUCAACCUGGGAAUGGCGCUUGUGACUGCAAAGCUAGAGUGCGGCAGAGGGGGAUGGAAUUCCGCGUGUAGCAGUGGAAUGCGUAGAUAUGCGGAGGAACACCGAUGGCGAAGGCAAUCCCCUGGGCCUGCACUGACGCUCAUGCACGAAAGCGUGGGGAGCAAACAGGAUUAGAUACCCGAGUAGUCCCUGUCUCUUAUAC